UGAGAGGCUGAAGGAGCAGAAUAACAACACAGAGACUCUAAAGAAGAGACUUGAGGACCAGCUGAAGAUGGUAGCAGAGACAACGGAGAAGCAGUGUGUGGAUAAUGUCCAGCUGAGACAGGAGAAGACGGCACUGCAGAAAGACCUGCUGACAACACAGGUGUCGUUGAAGACCGUUCAGAAGGUAGCGGAGGAAGUGCAGCAGUUGAAGGAGAGGACAACG